UGUGGGUUUAUAGCUUGCACCUUGACUCGAGCGGGAGGUUUUGCCCCGCGGAAUUUUGGUUCGGUUUUGAGGGGGAACCUGAGGGGGCCUCUCCCCCUCUCAUUAAGCCAGAGGGGCGCAUUGUACCCAUUCCAGACACAGGGAGGUAGUGACAAGAAAUAACAAUCCGGGGCUUAAAGUCUUGUAAUUGGAAUGAUGGGAAUUUAAACCUCUUCCAGAGUAUCAAUCGAGGGCAAGUCUGGUGGCAGCAGUCGCGGUAAUCCAGCCCGGAAACGAAACCUAAAACCCGGCAGCCAACGAGCUCCGAUAGCCAACAGCUACCUCCAAG
rnacentral:rRNA from 1 species